rnacentral:rRNA from 1 species
GACGAACGCUGGCGGCGUGCCUAAUACAUGCAAGUUGAGCGCUGAAGGUUGGUACUUGUACCAACUGGAUUAGCAGCGAACGGGUGAGUAACGCGUGGGUAAUCUGCCUUUGAGCGGGGGACAACAUUUGGAAACGAAUGCUAAUACCGCAUAAAAUCUUUAAACACAAGUUUUAAGUUUGAAAGAUGCAAUUGCAUCACUCAAAGAUGAUCCCGCGUUGUAUUAGCUAGUUGGUGAGGUAAAGGCUCACCAAGGCGAUGAUACAUAGCCGACCUGAGAGGGUGAUCGGGCAAAAUGGGACUGAGACAAGGCCCAAACUCCUACGGGAGGCAGCAGGAGGGAAUCUUCGGCAAUGGACGAAAGGCCGAACGAGCAACGCCGCGGGAGGGAAGAAGGGUUUCGGAUCGUAAAACUCUGUUGGUAGAGAAGAACGUUGGGGGGAGUGGAAAGCUCAUCAAGUGACGGUAACUACCCAGAAAGGGACGGCUAACUACGUG